AUGUAUACGGAAUAAAAAAGUGAAACCACCCCUUGUGGUCAUUACAUAAUACAGUACUGUACGCUUUGUAAGGUAACAGAAGAAAACACAAACUAUUUUGUAAGUAAACGUCCAUCUUUCCAUUAUCUAUCUGGUCUUGAUACAGUGCCCAGAUGUCCUUUACUCUUGCCACAUCCCUCAGCUUCUCCUGAGGGUAAUCUAUGUAAUCUUUGCAGGAUUUUCUGGGUAUCCUCCCAGUUGGGCACGCCCAGCAUACCUCAACAGGAAAGUACCCAGAAGGCAUCUUGACCAGACUCCCAACCCACAUCAACUUUCAGUGCAAAGAAGUAGUUGAUAUACUAUGAGAUCCUACCAGAUGUCUGAGCUGGGGGCAAUCUACUCCCAUCAUCGGACCCAUGGCCUCAGACUGGGAGUUGCUGACUUUGAUCCGAAGUACUUCACACUUCAAACUCCUCCAGUGUGAAAUGGGGUCAAAGUCUGAUGAUACUGCAAAUACUUUGGUCAUGCGGACAAAUUAUGUACAUCAGUCGUUGAACCCGCACAGUCUUUGGUGAAUGUGUACGUUUUUGCACCGUCAUCUUGGUGUGAAUUACAGAGUCACUUUAAACUAGAUUGUUUUAGAAACAUGCAGGAUUAAGGACUAUUUGAACACUGGAUGUACAUGUCCUGCUACUGAACGCUGCUAAGCCAUUGGUUGAUACAAUUUGCUGUUUGUUUUACGUGUGCUUGUGUGUGCUUUUAUGGGAACAUUUUAUGCUGCCAUCUUGGCCAGGGCUCCCUGUAAACCUCAAUGGUAUUAUCCUGGAAAAUAAAGGUUAAACAAAAAAAAAUCAAAAUGAAAAUCACAAACAAGUGACAAGGCACAACCUUGAUUAAGUCCAAUAUGUCAAUAACACACUCACUGUUGAUAAUACAGAUAGAUCCAACCCGGUUGGCUCGUAACAUCGGCCCUGGCAUCCCAUAUUCCUGCAGUACUUCCCACAAGAUACCACAAGUCACACAGACUGGAUGGGCAAACUCUCAUGACGCCUCGAGAGCAAGGAUUAAGAGCAGGUGCACUGUUUUAUGACCAGAAUGCUGCUACCAUAAUGGGUAAGGAAAGGGGCCGGCACCAAAGAUCCUAGAGGGUGCAUCUUGGCACAUUUCCUGGAGAGGCUAAGGACUGUGAUAAUAAUCUGAUGUCCCCUUUAUAAAAAAAUAGGACUCAAAACCCCACCUCAGAGUCCAUAGGCACUGUUCCCAAAUACAUUUUGAGUUUGUACCUGUUUCCACAGACAUUAACCCAUUUUGCCAGAACUUAGAUGUUCAGUAAUGUGGGGAAGUUUUGAGUUGGUGCCAUUUGUUGAGGGCAAUGCCAGCUGGGAUUUGGUGAUGGCCAUCAAAUUGAGACUUUGCCCACAUAGCAAAAAUCUCAGCAACAAAAACAGUGCAGGAUAAAAGGAAUAAACAAACAACAAAGCUAGACAUUCAGAAACAUUGUCUGACACACCUAUCUGAACCAAAGCCAGAUUUAUUGUUUGAUUUCAUGUUUUGACUAGAAUCCAAACCAUGCUGAUUCUGCAGACCAUGAGCCAGCAGCAGUCAAAGCGGUAUGUACAAAUAACAGAUGAGACAGAGCACUAAUGCCGUGAGGGAAAAUAGAGGUGGAUUAGAAAUAGUGUGACAGACAGUGAACAGAUAUCAGUGUCAGGGCUCUGGUCAGGAUUUAGUGACAAGCUGGCAGCAAGGCUGCGGAUGUACUGCUGGAGUGAUGUAUUUCGACACGGGUCAGUUGGAAACGUGACAAGGUGAAGCAGAGCCAGUGAUGAGUUAGAGCUGGAGAAUAUUCAGCUCCAAAUAAAGACACAAAGGAGGGAAAGAGAAGAGAUGACAGUGCAGUAGAAAGGAGAGGUAAUGGAGGAGUUUGUGCUCCUACCUUUCUUGACUUUCUUAGAUGGCUGUUUCUUCUUGAUGAACUUGGUUGCCUCCUGUGGAAGUUCCAGCUCCUCCCCGUCACCAGCCACCUCUGCAAUGGGCUCAACACCUCCUAAGUGACAGACUCACCGGGAGCAGCCAGGUUCUGGACCUGGAUAGGGACAGGGACGUUGGCCUCCGAGGCCAGGGUGAGGCGGCCUCCCUUGCUGAUGCGAUCGCACAUCAGGGUGAUGUGCUUCUUGAGGCGGGCGGUGUCUCGUGGCAGGCCCAGCACAGGGCCUCCGUGCUGGGCCAGAGAUGUGGCCUGGUCCUUGGGGCUCCGCGAAAGGCAGCUCCGCAGGAGGUGAGAGACGGCGGCGUCGCAGCUCUCCUCCCAGCCCUGAGGAGACAGGAGGAGACAUGAUAACAUUUGAUUAUGUUGUUGAGUUUUCUUUCCUUAUCGUACAUUUAUGUGUCAAUAAAUUGUAUAAACAUUUCUGUGUGAAUGGUGUAAAAGGAAAUGACACUUUACAACCACAAACUAAAGACCUAGGGCCUUCAGAGGAUGGAUGGCUUUCCUAGGUAGAUUGACAAUAAGGGGGUUUCUGAGCAGUUUACACAACAGAAGUGCUCGCCAUCCAAUCGCCAAAAAACACAAUUCUUGCAGAAUUUUCCAAAUGUCCAAAAGUUUUUGAAACCAAAUCACAGCAUGGCUUUUUCUAUGGUGUUCCUCCAUGUCUUGGUUUCUUAAUGUGGUAUUUUGGAGGGAUUAUUGAUCAUGUUUUCUCAAUUCUCGAAUGGUAAAAAAAAUGUUAAAUUUAGCACCAAAUCUGGGUAACAAAUGGUGCCAAUCACUGAAGUUGAAGUGUAUUUUCUACAAAAUAGCCAUAUUUCAUGGUUUAAAUUCACACUUGUGUAAACAAAUGCACCAAAACUUGUCUCAGAUGUUUAGGUUCAUGUGUACAUGUCAGUUUGGGAGAUAGUUUGUGUUGAUAAGAUGAAUAUAAAUGAAGUUACAAGCAAAA